rnacentral:rRNA from 1 species
GAUGAACGCUGGCGGCGUGCCUAAUACAUGCAAGUCGAACGCAUUGAGAGAAGUGCUUGCACUUUUCAAUUUGAGUGGCGAACGGGUGAGUAACACGUGGGCAACCUACCUGAUAGCGGGGGAUAACGAGUGGAAACAUUCGCUAAUACCGCAUAACAAUAGAGAAGGCAUCUUCUUUAUUUAAAAGGCGCUUUCAAGCGUCACUACCAGAUGGGCCCGCGGUGCAUUAGUUAGUUGGUGGGGUGAAGGCCUACCAAGACGAUGAUGCAUAGCCCAGUUGAGAGACUGAUCGGACACAUUGGGACUGAGACACGGCCCAAACUCCUACGGGGGGCUGCAGUAGGGAAUCUUCCACAAUGGACGAAAGUCUGAUGGAGCAACGCCGCGUGUGUGAUGAAGGCUUUCGGGUCGUAAAGCACUGUUGUAUGGGAAGAAAUGCUAGGCUAGGAAAUGAGCUUAGUUUGACGGUACCAUACCAGAAAGGGACGGCUAAAUACGUGCCAGCCGCCGCCGUAA